GUCACAGGUGGUGCGGCAUUAAUGUGCAGCACCGAAUGCGCAAUACCUAAACGAAGACGGUAGACAAG
rfam:Pseudomonas sp. M30-35, complete genome.